AACGAACGCUGGCGGCAGGCCUAACACAUGCAAGUCGAACGCUCGUAGCAAUACGGGAGUGGCAGACGGGUGAGUAACGCGUGGGAACGUACCCUUUGGUUCGGAACAACUCCGGGAAACUGGAGCUAAUACCGGAUGAGCCCUACGGGGGGAAAGAUUUAUCGCCGAAGGAUCGGCCCGCGUCGGAUUAGCUAGUUGGUGAGGUAACGGCUCACCAAGGCAACGAUCCGUAGCUGGUCUGAGAGGAUGAUCAGCCACACUGGGACUGAGACACGGCCCAGACACCUACGGGAGGCUG
rnacentral:rRNA from 1 species